rnacentral:rRNA from 1 species
AGCGAACGCUGGCGGCGUGCUUAACACAUGCAAGUCGAACGAUGAAGCUGGAGCUUGCUCCGGUGGAUUAGUGGCGAACGGGUGAGUAACACGUGAGCAAUCUGCCCUUGACUCUGGGAUAACUGCGGGAAACUGUAGCUAAUACCAGAUACUUUCACUGGAAGGCAUCUUCUGGUGAAGAAAGAAUUUCGGUCAAGGAUGAGCUCGCGGCCUAUCAGCUUGUUGGUGAGGUAACGGCUCACCAAGGCGACGACGGGUAGCCGGCCUGAGAGGGUGACCGGCCACACUGGGACUGAGACACGGCCCAGACUCCUACGGGAGGCAGCAGUGGGGAAUAUUGCACAAUGGGCGCAAGCCUGAUGCAGCAACGCCGCGUGAGGGAUGAAGGCCUUCGGGUUGUAAACCUCUUUUAGCAGGGAAGAAGCGAAAGUGACGGUACCUGCAGAAAAAGCACCGGCUAACUACGUGCCAGCCGCCGCCGUAACAC